CGAUCACCGCGGUCUCUCGCCGCGGACGCUAUGUGUUCGUUCGUGUUUGCUUCCCGUAGCCGGACCUGGUGCCUGGGCCCAGCGGAGCGCGGCCGGUGCGAUGCCGAGCCAGCCCGGCCUGUCGGCCCCGCCGUGGGCGCUGCGCAGACCUGAGGGAGCCGGGGGGAGAACUGACCGGACGUGGAGGAGGAGCAGAGUGCCACCACGAGGUCGGACAUUGAGAUCGGAGGCUGACUGCCAGCAGCCGUGGCCUCCCAUGAGUCCAUCUUAGGAGCGUCCGCUUCCUCAAGUUUUGAGAACUGAGUGCUGGAAUGCAGCCUGUGUUGGUAGCCGCAGUGAAGGAAGAGGCUGUCUCCAGAAGAGUCUCCAGCAGUACCGCCACCAACCGGGAUUCGGAAAGCAGCCUCUUAAGCAGUGUUAUGAAAACAGUCCAGCAUGUGUCUGCUGACCCUGUUCUGUCUGGUCAGGCACAUUUGGUGAUCAUCCUACCCCACGGGAACUUCCACACAUGUCAAUAAAAUGUUUGUGCACAAA